UGGGAAAGAAGUGAGAAGGCAGAGACACAGCGGAUGAUAGAGAACUAGGAGCACAGAACACUUUAUGUACUGAUGUUAUAGAAGAAGUUGAACUAAAUCUUGAACCUGAGAAAUGUUAUCAGUCAUUUGAGGGAUUUUUUGCUUCCCACCUUCAUCCUAUGGCACCAAUGCCGAAUACUGGUGAGGUAUUGAUGAGAAACAGUCGUAGCAGGUAUACUACUGCCCACGGGAUUCUAUUUAGAAGCAUUUUUGAAUCACUACUCAAAGCACAGAUAUAUAAGCCGGGGAUGCAUUUCCAAUAGAAGAGAUGUCUUCAUUGUUAACACACCAAGGAAGAGGAUCUCAUACAUGGUGAUCAUGGCCUGGAGAGUGUAACCCUAAAUGCAGGCUCUUAUGUUCUGCUUAUCAGCUGUAUAAUUUAAGCAUUAGUAGACUGUAAGUGUUAAAAAUCAAUUCCAUGGUCAAAUGGCUCAGGGGUUUUCUUUCUCUGAAGGAGGUAAACAAUAUUAUAGAGAGACAAACAUGGACA